UACAGAGGGUGCGAGCGUUGUCCGGAAUCACUGGGCGUAAAGGGCGCGUAGGUGGUGGCUUAAGCGUGCGGUGAAAGCUCGGAGCUCAACUCCGAGUCGGCCGUGCGAACUGGGCUCACUGGAGCAUAGUAGAGGCAGGUGGAAUUCCGGGUGUAGCGGUGGAAUGCGUAGAGAUCCGGAAGAACACCGGUGGCGAAGGCGGCCUGCUGGGCUAUGGCUGACACUGAGGCGUGACAGCGUGGGGAGCAACAGG
rnacentral:rRNA from 1 species